rnacentral:rRNA from 1 species
GACGAACGCUGGCGGCGUGCUUAACACAUGCAAGUCGAACGAAGAGCGAUGGAAGCUUGCUUCUAUCAAUCUUAGUGGCGAACGGGUGAGUAACGCGUAAUCAACCUGCCCUUCAGAGGGGGACAACAGUUGGAAACGACUGCUAAUACCGCAUACGAUCUAAUCUCGGCAUCGAGGAUAGAUGAAAGGUGGCCUCUACAUGUAAGCUAUCACUGAAGGAGGGGAUUGCGUCUGAUUAGCUAGUUGGAGGGGUAACGGCCCACCAAGGCGAUGGUCAGUAGCCGGUCUGAGAGGAUGAACGGCCACAUUGGGACUGAGACACGGCCCAGACUCCUACGGGAGGCAGCAGUGGGGAAUCUUCCGCAAUGGACGAAAGUCUGACGGAGCAACGCCGCGUGAGUGAUGACGGCCUUCGGGUUGUAAAGCUCUGUUAAUCGGGACGAAAGGCCUUCUUGCGAAUAGUGAGAAGGAUUGACGGUACCGGAAGAGAAAGCCACGGCUAACUACGUG